AUUGAACGCUGGCGGUAGGCCUAACACAUGCAAGUCGAACGCGAAAGUCCUUCGGGAUGAGUAGAGUGGCGGACGGGUGAGUAACGCGUAGGAAUCUAUCCUGUAGUGGGGGAUAACGUUUCGAAGGAACGCUAAUACCGCAUACGCCCCAAGGGGAAAGCGGGGGAUCUUCGGACCUCGUGCUAUAGGAGGAGCCUGCGUCGGAUUAGCUAGUUGGUGAGGUAAAGGCUCACCAAGGCGACGAUCCGUAGCUGGUCUGAGAGGAUGAUCAGCCACACCGGAACUGAGACACGGUCCGGACUCCUACGGGAGGCAGCAGUGGGGAAUAUUGCGCAAUGGGCGAAAGCCUGACGCAGCCAUACCGCGUGUGUGAAGAAGGCC
rnacentral:rRNA from 1 species